rnacentral:lncRNA from 13 species
GUGGUGUUGGUAGUAGUAGUAAUGAUGAUGGUAGGGAUAGCAGUUUAGUGAUGGUGGUGGUAGUAGUAAUGAUGAUGGUAGUGAUAGCAGUUUAGUGAUGGUGGUGGUGGUAGUAGUAGUAAUGAUGAUGGUAGUGAUAGCAGUUUAGUGAAGGUGGUGGUGGUAGUAGUAGUAAUGAUGAUGGUAGGGAUAGCAGUUUAGUGAUGGUGGUGGUAGUAGUAAUGAUGAUGGUAGUGAUAGCAGUUUAGUGAAGGUGGUGGUGGUGGUAGUAGUAAUGAUGAUGGUAGUGAUAGCAGUUUAGUGAAGGUGGUGUUGGUAGUGUCGUGGAAAACCUUAACAAAAUGUAACACUUACAAGAACUUGUGAAUUCAAUAUAGGCUUUUAAUA